UACGGGGGGGGCAAGCGUUGUUCGGAAUUACUGGGCGUAAAGGGUGCGUAGGCGGUCUGUUAAGUUGGAUGUGAAAACUCUGGGCUCAACCCAGAGCCUGCAUCCAAAACUGGCAGGCUAGAGUUCUGGAGGGGGUAGCGGAAUUCCUGGUGUAGCGGUGAAAUGCGUUGAUAUUGGAAGGAACGCCGGAGGCGAAAGCGGCGCACUGGAUUUCUUCUGACGCUGAGGCGCGAAAGCUAGGGGAGCAAACGGG
rnacentral:rRNA from 1 species